rnacentral:rRNA from 1 species
GACGAACGCUGGCGGCGUGCUUAACACAUGCAAGUCGAACGGAAAGGCCCUGCUUUUGUGGGGUGCUCGAGUGGCGAACGGGUGAGUAACGCGUGAGUAACCUGCCCUUGACUUUGGGAUAACUUCAGGAAACUGGGGCUAAUACCGGAUAGGAGCUCCUGCUGCAUGGUGGGGGUUGGAAAGUUUCGGCGGUUGGGGAUGGACUCGCGGCUUAUCAGCUUGUUGGUGGGGUAGUGGCUUACCAAGGCUUUGACGGGUAGCCGGCCUGAGAGGGUGACCGACCACAUUGGGACUGGGAUACGGCCAAGACUCCUACGGGAGGCAGCAGUGAGGAAUAUUGCGCAAUGGGCGGAAGCCUGAUGCAGCAACGCCGCGUGCGGGAUAACGGCCUUCGGGUUGUAAACCGCUUUCGCCUGUGACGAAGCGUGAGUGGCGGUAAUGGGUAAAGAAGCACCAGCUAAAUACGUG